GAUGAACGCUGGCGGUAUGCUUAACACAUGCAAGUCGAACGAAGUCUUCGGACUUAGUGGCGGACGGGUGAGUAACGCGUAAGAAUCUACCUAUAGGUUCGGGACAACAGUUAGAAAUGACUGCUAAUACCGGAUAUGCCCUCGGGUGAAAGUUUUAAUGCCUGUAGAUGAGCUUGSSUUCGAUUAGCUAGAUGGGUGGGGUAAUGGCCUACCAUGGCGACGAUCGAUAACUGGUCUGAGAGGAUGACCAGUCACACUGGGACUGAGACACGGCCCAGACUCCUACGGGAGGCAGCAGUGGGGAAUUUUCCGCAAUGGGCGAAAGCCUGACGGAGCAAUACCGCGUGAGGGACGAAGGCCUGUGGGUUGUAAACCUCUUUUGUUAGGGAAGAUAAUGACGGAACCUAACGAAUAAAC
rnacentral:rRNA from 1 species